GUAAUCGCGGAUCAGCAUGCCGCGGUGAAUACGUUCCCGGGCCUUGUACACACCGCCCGUCACACCAUGAGAGUCGGGAACACCCGAAGUCCGUAGCCUAACCGCAAGGAGGGCGCGGCCGAAGGUGGGUUCGAUAAUUGGGGUGAAGUCGUAACAAGGUAUC
rnacentral:rRNA from 1 species